AUCACUGUUCAUGAGAAGGUUAGUUAUUUCUUCCAUAAAAACGUGUAUCCAUAAGACCACGUACCAUCCUAAAUCUAUGCUACAUUCUCAAUUAAAAUAUUUGGUGUGCAAAAGUUAAAAGUUCAAGUGAUGUUUAAAUCACCAGUUACCGGAUUGUCUACUCGGAUCGGAUCGCAUGCAUCAAAACAAUUGAUUAUUAUAUAAAUUGGAAAUAUAAUUUUACACUUUAAUAUAUAUAAUAAGAUGAUUAUCCCCAGUAUGUAUCAAACAAUUGAUUAUUAUAUAAAUUGGAAAUAUUCUGUAGAAGCAUUAUUCCCAACUCUUCUUUGAUUUCAGUUUUUUUUUUGUGGAUUGUUGGUGUUAUAUUUCAAUGCGGAUAAUUAAACAGAAAAUGAUUUACAAUUACGUUUAACAGUAAUGCUCCCUUUAUUUCUAAAUAAUAGUUUUUUAUUUAUUUUUACAUAUAUUGAGAAACAAUUUUUUUUUUUUUUGCUAACCUCACAUUAAUUAAUAAAGAACUCCUUGAUUGGUUGCCUAAUUAGGAGGACGAGUAUCUACAAAAGAAACUUCAGAAAAUAAAAGUUUAGAAGAACGGGCUAACCAGUCCGCUUUAACAUUACAUAAACGAGGAAUAAGAGAGAGCGAGAAAAAGGGGAAAGAGACACGGAGAAAACCAAACUCGUCUAGCAGAUUGGAGAAAGCGGGCCAUUCAUCAGGGGACUGUAUCAUCGAGACUAACUCCGAACAAUCUGUUUCGCCUGACAAUCUAUCCUUCUGGAAAGGAUAUUCUUCAUAGCCCAAAUUAAAGCUUCCAUCUCCGAAUGAAGGGGGGAAGGACACCUCCGUAGGCACUUUGCACCGAACAAUAUCGAUUGAUCAUUUCCUUGAAAACAACACCAUCCUAAACCCAUAGUUGGAUCCGAAGUUUUCC
rnacentral:lncRNA from 1 species